rnacentral:rRNA from 1 species
GACGAACGCUGGCGGCGUGCCUAAUACAUGCAAGUCGAACGCAGUGGGGACGGGUGAGUAACCCGUGGGUAAACUCGCAUCCGAGGGGAAAACACUUGGAAACAGGUGCUAAACCGAUACUGAUGUCUGACCACGCGGGGCAUUAGCUAGUUGGGGGGGGAACGGCUCACCAAGGCCACGAUGCAUAGCUGACUGGAGAGGGUGACCGGCCACACUGGGACUGAGACACGGCCCAGACUCCUACGGGAGGCAGCAGUAGGGAAUCUUCGGCAAUGGACGAAAGUCUGACCGAGCAACGUCGCGGGAGUGAAGAAGGUUUUCGGGUCGUAAAACUCUGUUGUUAGAGAAGCGGUAUCUAACGAGAAAGCCCCGGCUAACUACGUGCCAGCAGCCGCGGUAAUUC